CCUACGGGAGGCUGCAGUGGGGAGUAUUGGACAAUGGGGGGAACCCUGAUCCAGCCAUGCCGCGUGUGUGAAGAAGGCCCUCGGGUUGUAAAGCACUUUCAGUGAGGAAGAACGCCUGGUGGUUAAUACCCAUCAGGAAAGACAUCACUCACAGAAGAAGCACCGGCUAACUCCGUGCCAGCAGCCGCGGUAAUACGGAGGGUGCGAGCGUUAAUCGGAAUUACUGGGCGUAAAGCGCGCGUAGGUGGCUUGAUAAGCCGGUUGUGAAAGCCCCGGGCUCAACCUGGGAACGGCAUCCGGAACUGUCAAGCUAGAGUGCAGGAGAGGAAGGUAGAAUUCCCGGUGUAGCGGUGAAAUGCGUAGAGAUCGGGAGGAAUACCAGUGGCGAAGGCGGCCUUCUGGACUGACACUGACACUGAGGUGCGAAAGCGUGGGUAGCAAACAGGAUUAGAUACCCCUGUAGUC
rnacentral:rRNA from 1 species